CGUAGGGGGCUAGCGUUGUCCGGAAUCAUUGGGCGUAAAGCGCGCGUAGGCGGCCCGGUAAGUCCGCUGUAAAAGUCAAAGGCUCAACCUUUGAAUGUCAGUGGAUACUGCCGGGCUAGAGUCCGGAAGAGGCGAGUGGAAUUCCUGGUGUAGCGGUGGAAUGCGCAGAUAUCAGGAGGAACACCAACGGCGAAGGCAGCUCGCUGGGACGGUACUGACGCAGAGGCGCGAAAGCGUGGGGAGCGAACAGGAUUAGAUACCCUGGUAGUCCACGCCGUAAACGAUGGGCACUAGGUGUGGGAGGUGUCGACUCCUCCCGUGCCGGCGCUAACGCAUUAAGUGCCCCGCCUGGGGAUACGGCCGCAAGGCUA
rnacentral:rRNA from 1 species